rnacentral:rRNA from 1 species
UCUUGGUCAUUAGAGGAAGUAAAAGUCGUAACAAGGUUUCCGUAGGUGAACCUGCGGAAGGAUCAUUACCGAAUUGUCGACACGAGUUGUUGCUGGUCCUCAAAAACGGGGGCAUCGUGCACGCUCUGUUUGCACAUCCACUCACACCUGUGCACCCUCCGUAGUUCUGCAGCCUGGGGGCUCUGUCCCCCCUGCCGUGGUUCUAUGUAUUUACACACACACACUGUAAUAAAGUCUCAUGGAAUGUAUGCCGCGUUUAACGCAAUACAAUACAACUUUCAGCAACGGAUCUCUUGGCUCUCGCAUCGAUGAAGAACGCAGCGAAAUGCGAUAAGUAAUGUGAAUUGCAGAAUUCAGUGAAUCAUCGAAUCUUUGAACGCACCUUGCGCCCUUUGGCCAUUCCGAAGGGCAUGCCUGUUUGAGUAUCAUGAACACCUCAACUCUCAUGGCUUGCCAUGAUGAGCUUGGACUUUGGGGGUCUUGCUGGCCUGUGGUCGGCUCCUCUCAAAUGAAUCAGCUUGCCAGUGUUUGGUGGCAUCACAAGUGUGAUAACUAUCUGCGCUCGUGGUUUUCCACCAGGUAACCUUCAGCAAUGGAGGUUCGCUGGAGCUAAUAAACGUCUCUCCUCGGUGAGGACAGCUCUUUGAACGUUUGAUCUCAAAUCAGGUAGGACUACCCGCUGAACUUAAGCAUAUCAAUAAGCGGAGGA